UUCUUCUUUCUUCUUCUGUUCGAAACCGAGAGAUGAUUUUGAGGUAGGAUUUGAGAGAAUCAUUUGUUGAAGCUAGUGAGCAGAUGAUGAAGAUGGCGUGAUUGUAAUCUAUGAAGAAGAUCAAUUGAAAAUUGAUUGAGUUUCGAGAUAACCUGAGAAGAACGAGGUUAGGGUUUGCUGUUCGUUGGAGAUUAAGUGAGGUUGAUGAUAGAAUCGAUCGAUUGAUGAUGGGUUUUGUUUUUUUAAGACAAAGGAGAAGAAUUAUCUGUUAAUUCUAUAAUUUCAGUGAAGAAAUUAGGGUUUCUGCAUGUUGUAUUUGAGUUCGAAUUGGGCAAAGAUUAAGAAGAGUUAGAUGGAUCUAUAAGAUGGGUUUGCUUAAUUGAAAGGUUUGAUUGAUGUCUUGAGAUUGAAUUUGAUAUUGAAGAUAGUUAAGGUUCAUGUGUUCUUCCCCAAAUUGGAAUUAGGUUUGAGUAGAAUUGAUGAUGAAUUAGAGUAAUAAAUAGAUGAAGCACAAGGAGGUAGUCGGUUGAAUUGAUGUUGUGUAGUUGUUUUAGAGGAUAAUCAAAGAGUUAGGGUUUUCCUGCGAGUUGAUGAUGAUUUGGUUGGAAUUGAUUAUUUGGCUGAGAACUGUUGGUGAUGAUUGGAUUGAUUUGGUAUUGAGGGAACUGAGUUGGUGAAUUUUUGUAGCCUCAAGAAGAAUAGCAGAAUCCAGUUAAGCAAGAAGAGAAGUUGAAAGAUGGAUUAGUCUUAAGGUGUUGGACAUGUAUUUGAGGUAAUUGUUCUUCUCUUCGAUUUUAGUUAAAGUUAUGUAGUUUUUGUUGUUGAAUUUGUGUAUAUGUUAUUGACAUAAGUUCAAGUAUCCUAGUUGGAUGAAGUAAGAGAAUCUCAGAUGAAUGAUUGUUGUUUGAGUUGGGUUAUGUGUUACAAUAGUGCAAAUGGUGUUGUUUCUGGGAUUGGGAUAAAUAGAAUUGUAUUGGAUUUGGUGAUUGGUGGUGAUGGCAGUUGAAGAAUGUUAACUGAAUUGGGGUGGACAAGUUUACUUGUGAUGACAAUAUUGGGGUUGUUAGAGUUGCAAUAAGAUGAAACGUUUAGCAUAUGAGAAUUUAUCUCAAGUGGUGGUUUAUGUGUGACAGUGCUUUAGGAAUGGAGCUGUUGUUGAUUAGUGUUGAUGAUUGGCGAUAUUGACUGUGCUAAGAUGGAGUUGCAAGUGAUGUUGGUUUGGUAAUUACUGGGUCAUGUAGUGGUUAAGGGAGUUGAAUUGCAGAUUUAUGGGGUUAAUGUGAACUGCAGGGUAUGAGAUUGGCGUCAAUGCUGUGAUGUUGUUGUAAGGUGAAUGAGAUGAAGUGAUAAUUCUUAGAAACUAGAAUGCUGUGAGUCCUGAGUUUGAGUUGCAGUUGGAGCAACAUAGGAAUUAGUUAUAACUCUCAGAUUUGUAUGCUGUUGAGAUGUUGAGCAGAAGUUCAUUGUGAUGUUGUUGACAGUGACCCUAGUGAAAGACUGCAAUGCAGAUCAAGAUACGUUGGAACUGCUGUUACUUCCAUUCAUGAAAUGGAAAAUGGGUUCAACAUCAGGUCUUUCAAUGUAAAGUUACUGCACACUGUACAUGUACGCAAGGGAUCACACGCCUAAGAAAUACAGCAAGAAGAGAUUGAGGACCAAGAUGUCAGUGCUCAAUUGAGCGAGAAUGAUAGGAAGGAAGCUGUAAAAAUGGUACGUAACAAAUGCAUGAAUUGGAUAAGGCAGUGGCCAGUGAUGAUGAAGAAUAAUAAUAUGAAGCCAAAGAAGUUGAGGUCGAGGAAAUUUUGGAUGUUCCGAGUUUGAUCAAGAGUGAAGUUGAAAUUCUUCUGAAAGUUUCUCUGAUAGAGACUCCCCAACCCCAGUUAGUCUCUAUUAACAACGAUCAAUUCAAAGGAUGAACCAGUGGAUCGUGGAUAUCGAGGUAGGCGUGGCUUGUCAUCAAAAGAGGUGGGAAUACAUUUGACUCUUUUGUAACCAUUAUUGUUGCUUUUUACAAAAGUUUACGUUUAACAAUCAUGCAUUGUUUGUUUAUGCAUUUCAUGCUUUAUUUAAAUUACAUUGUGAUAAUUCUGUUGAUUUGUUAAUCUUUCCAUCGUUUGGAAAUGACUUGUAUUGAUUGUUUGUCAUAUGAAUUGUUAAGGAAAAUGAGAAUUUCCACGUGUGGUAUAUAGGAUACACUCCUUCAUAAUUA